UACGUAGGGUGCAAGCGUUGUCCGGAAUUAUUGGGCGUAAAGAGCUCGUAGGCGGUCUGUCGCGUCGGCUGUGAAAACCUGAGGCUCAACCUCAGGCCUGCAGUCGAUACGGGCAGACUAGAGUGCGGUAGGGGAGACUGGAAUUCCUGGUGUAGCGGUGAAAUGCGCAGAUAUCAGGAGGAACACCGGUGGCGAAGGCGGGUCUCUGGGCCGUAACUGACGCUGAGGAGCGAAAGCGUGGGGAGCAAACAGG
rnacentral:rRNA from 1 species